UGCAAAAUGAUGAUCAAUAACUUUCGCCCCUAGCAGAACCAUAAUUGGAAACUUCCCAUGUUGAAUGCCAUGAUUGGUCUCACUGAUAUUGCAGCUA